CCUGGUGGCUCAGAUGGUAAAGCGUCUGCCUGCAAUGCGGGAGACCCAGGUUCAAUCCCUGGGUCAGGA
rnacentral:tRNA from 1 species